rnacentral:rRNA from 1 species
GGGUUGUGAGGUUAAGCGACUAAGCGUACACGGUGGAUGCCCUGGCAGUCAGAGGCGAUGAAGGGCGUGCUAAUCUGCGAUAAGCGCCGGUAAGGUGAUAUGAACCGUUAUAACCGGCGAUACCCGAAUGGGGAAACCCAGUGUGACUCGUCACACUAUCAUUAACUGAAUCCAUAGGUUAAUGAGGCGAACCGGGGGAACUGAAACAUCUAAGUACCCCGAGGAAAAGAAAUCAACCGAGAUUCCCCCAGUAGCGGCGAGCGAACGGGGAGGAGCCCAGAGCCUGAAUCAGCAUGUGUGUUAGUGGAAGCGUCUGGAAAGGCGCGCGAUACAGGGUGACAGCCCCGUACACAAAAGCGCAUGUGCUGUGAGCUCGAUGAGUAGGGCGGGACACGUGGUAUCCUGUCUGAAUAUGGGGGGACCAUCCUCCAAGGCUAAAUACUCCUGACUGACCGAUAGUGAACCAGUACCGUGAGGGAAAGGCGAAAAGAACCCCGGCGAGGGGAGUGAAAAAGAACCUGAAACCGUGUACGUACAAGCAGUGGGAGCCCCACCACUAAGCCAGUGGUGAACUCCACAUACGCAUCCUUUGCUGAGGAUACGGUUAACGGAGCGAAAGCGACGUUCAACCUCAAAAGAAGCAGAGGGGGCUUAGUGGUGGGGUGACUGCGUACCUUUUGUAUAAUGGGUCAGCGACUUAUAUUCUGUAGCAAGGUUAACCGUAUAGGGGAGCCGUAGGGAAACCGAGUCUUAACCGGGCGUUAAGUUGCAGGGUAUAGACCCGAAACCCGGUGAUCUAGCCAUGGGCAGGUUGAAGGUUGGGUAACACUAACUGGAGGACCGAACCGACUAAUGUUGAAAAAUUAGCGGAUGACCUGUGGCUGGGGGUGAAAGGCCAAUCAAACCGGGAGAUAGCUGGUUCUCCCCGAAAGCUAUUUAGGUAGCGCCUCGUGAAUUCAUCUCCGGGGGUAGAGCACUGUUUCGGCUAGGGGGCCAUCCCGGCUUACCAACCCGAUGCAAACUGCGAAUACCGGAGAAUGUUAUCACGGGAGACACACGGCGGGUGCUAACGUCCGUCGUGAAGAGGGAAACAACCCAGACCGCCAGCUAAGGUCCCAAAGUCAUGGUUAAGUGGGAAACGAUGUGGGAAGGCCCAGACAGCCAGGAUGUUGGCUUAGAAGCAGCCAUCAUUUAAAGAAAGCGUAAUAGCUCACUGGUCGAGUCGGCCUGCGCGGAAGAUGUAACGGGGCUAAACCAUGCACCGAAGCUGCGGCAGCGAACGUAUCACCCAAGACAACUUUACGGAGUUGACGAUUGACGGAGCGAAGCGACGUCAAAGCGUUCAUUAAAGUCGAGUUGGCUUAGGGAUACGUUCGUUGGGUAGGGGAGCGUUCUGUAAGCCUGUGAAGGUGGCCUGUGAGGGUUGCUGGAGGUAUCAGAAGUGCGAAUGCUGACAUAAGUAACGAUAAAGCGGGUGAAAAGCCCGCUCGCCGGAAGACCAAGGGUUCCUGUCCAACGUUAAUCGGGGCAGGGUGAGUCGACCCCUAAGGCGAGGCCGAAAGGCGUAGUCGAUGGGAAACGGGUUAAUAUUCCCGUACUUGGUGUUACUGCGAAGGGGGGACGGAGAAGGCUAUGUUGGCCGGGCGACGGUUGUCCCGGUUUAAGCGUGUAGG